rnacentral:lncRNA from 1 species
GAAAGCUCUAUGUUCUUCACUUAUACUAAUUAAUUAAUUGUUCCAUAUGUUUCUAUUUAUUUAUUUAUUUUAAUUUUUUUUGACAGUUCCAUAUGUUUGUUUGGAGGCGAUUUACACACAGAAAAAAUGAACAAACAUCCGAUUUUCGAUUCGCAAAUAAUAAUAAUACAACAAAUGGAAGUCUAAGUUCAAGACAAGAACAAUACAAAAAACAAUAAUUAAAAAUAAAUAUUAAAUCUGCAAAUUACACACUCGUGUCUAUGAUCACUCACA